GACGAACGCUGGCGGCGUGCUUAACACAUGCAAGUCGAACGGAAAGGCCCUGCUUUUGUGGGGUGCUCGAGUGGCGAACGGGUGAGUAACACGUGAGUAACCUGCCCUUGACUUUGGGAUAACUUCAGGAAACUGGGGCUAAUACCGGAUAGGAGCUCCUGCUGCAUGGUGGGGGUUGGAAAGUUUCGGCGGUUGGGGAUGGACUCGCGGCUUAUCAGCUUGUUGGUGGGGUAGUGGCUUACCAAGGCUUUGACGGGUAGCCGGCCUGAGAGGGUGACCGGCCACAUUGGGACUGAGAUACGGCCCAGACGCCUACGGGAGGCAGCAGUGGGGAAUAUUGCACAAUGGGCGGAAGCCUGAUGCAGCAACGCCGCGUGCGGAAUGACGGCCUUCGGGUUGUAAACCGCUUUCGCCUGUGACGAAGCGUGAGUGACGGUAAUGGAUAAAGAAGCACCGGCUAACUACGUG
rnacentral:rRNA from 1 species